AGCGAACGAGCAUGAGCAACGGCACGCUAGAAUUAUGUACCUCCGGUUUUCUUGAGUAAUGUGUGCGCUGCGCGAUUUGCAGUCGGCUUUUAUUUUAUAAAUGUUAUGGAGGUGCAGUGUUUUUUAAAACUUUAACAUCACAAUAGGGAUUAAGAUAGUUCAUCGGUCUCGUUAAAAUGUACAGACUCCUCAAAGCCCGAGGUGUCACGGUGCAGAAGAAUUAUACAAAAUCUUUACAAAAUAAUGUUCAAUCAUCGAUGAAAGUUUGCUCGUUUUGCAAAUUCUUGCAUCCGAAAACAGCCAAGUUGACGAUCAAUUACCUGCAACAUCGACAUCAGUCAACGACCAUUCAUACGGCAGUUUUAGAUACACAAGUCCCAAAAAAAAUAAAGAGAAAGUCCAAACGAUACGCUGAACUGUUAGAAGUUUCAGAAAAUGUAACCAACAAUCGCAAAGCAUCAGUCAGAAAAUUAAAUGCAGAUCAUUUGUCUUUACUUAUUGACCAACCCGAUAUUACUUUGGACAAGUUGCAUAAAAUCAACAUCUCGAAGAUACAGAAGUAUGAGGAUCCACAGAGCGCACACGAUUUUAUGAUUUUUGAGACUACCACAUUGGCAGAUGAGAAAACCAAAUCAGAGAAUGAGACGGCUCAUGAGAGAGAUGAUGACAUUGCAAUAAUUGAAGAUUUAGAAGCAUCCGGAAUAUCUGAUCCUGCAGGUUUGAUAAAAAGUUCUUCCUUCUUGGAAACUUUGCAGGAAGAUGCACAUCGAGAUGAUACUGAGGAAGAAGCAGCAGAAAAUGUCCAGAAAAAAGAAAGAUCGAAUAAAAGUAAGAAAUUACAAACCAAAGAGGAAGAGGAUGCCCUCAAGAGCAGAAAUAGAGAAUUGAUAAUGAAAGGAAGGGAAGAAACUUUAGCUCGUUCCCUUUAUUCCUUCAUACAAGUUUGCUUGACCUGUGGAAUGACUGCGAGAGCGUGGCAGACGCUCAUGCAAUAUCGUCGAACUGGCUUGAACAAAUCGGGCUCUGGUGUAGUUAGAGACGUUCGUCUUUUCAAUCUCCUUUUGAAUAGUUACGCUGGAUGUGCAAACAUGCUGAAAAUCAAAGAAAUUCUACGUAUCUUGAAAGACGAUUCGAUACAACCUUCGCCUCAGACCUACGCUGCUGUCCUAGAAAGCUUCGGAAGGUUAAGGAAACGCGAGAAGGAAAGGGAAUUCAUGGACACUAUCGUAUUGGAGAUGAAAGAAAAUGGCAUAACAUUCAAUGACAUCGUAAAGUCUACAACAUUUCUACGUGAUCAGAGAAAACACACAAUGAAAGCGAUCAAAAUUCUGCAACCAGAUUUCAAGCCAAUCGAUGAUGUUCCCGAUUUUUCUUACGACUGUCGUCUCUUGAAAAAUAUUCAAUUUGGAAAGGCACGCCCAGAUUCCAGUGCAGCUAAGGAUUUAUUGACACUUGCGGAUCUCAAGAACAAACUUUCUGAACAGUUGAAAUUGGAAAUACAAGGUGACGUGGUCGUUAAGAGUAUCGAUGUUCCUGAUGAACUUAAACAUCCAGUAAUAUUUGCCAGAAAAAUCGUUGCGCAAAUAGAGGCAUCGUGGACGAAAGCAGCUCUAAAAGCAUUCGAUCGGAAUUUAUUAGCUCUGAAAAAUCGUGAAUGUCCACCGUGUAAUCAGCGUUUGACACUAUUGCCGUAUUUAUGUGUUUUGAAAAAAGAGGAUUAUGUGAACGCCAUUAUAACACAUGCUCAUCGUUUGGCUGAUGGUUCUGAAACCUUUAGUCUACCUAUAACAUCACUCUGUAACGACUUGGGCAGAACGAUUAAUAGAAAAUACGAGGUUGAAGAAAAACAGCGUAUGGGCGUAAUGGAAAAGAUCGAAAAGGUUUACAUCAAGUACUGCGAUUGGUAUUUAAAUCCAGACGAUAGAAUAAAUGGUAGGGUUGCGUGGGAAACGAUUGAACAGCAAACCAAGAAGAAAGGGGCGUCUCUGAACCCGGGAAAUUUAAAGUGGCCAUCGAACAUUCAUUACAACGUGGGAAAAUUUCUUUACGACAUCAUUCUCAAGGACAUCAAAUUCGACAUUAAUUGUCUGAAAGUGAACAGCACGGAAAAACACGAUAUACCUGCGUUCUACACGUUAUUCAGAUUCAAGGGAAAACGUUGUAAAGAAGAGAUUAAACCACAUCCACUCCUGGUUAAACUUUACCGAGAAUCCAAGCCAGAAACGUUGACUUUCCCAACCCCGUUAGUGCCUUCGGUGUGUCCACCAAAACCUUGGUCCUCCAUUCACGACGGCGGAUAUAUCGUCCUUAAAUCCGAAGUUGUUCGAGUACCAAUGAAUUCUACGCAUCAAUGGGAGAGAUUCGAGGAAGCUGGUACAAAGCGGUUGUCACCAGUUCUAGACUGUUUAAAUCAACUCGCCGCAGUUCCGUGGACUGUUAAUGAGCCGGUGCUUGACAUCGUGGUCAAGGUAUUUCGAGAAGGAGGGUCCGUUAAAUUGAAUGUCCCUCAACCACCCUCUGUCCUUCCAACACCACCUCAACUUUACCCUCAUUCUGAUCGAGCUGAGAGAAUAAGUGUUGCAAAACAAAGAAUGGAAUUACAAAGAAGAAAAGGCGAAAUGUACUCGCUCUGGUGUGAUUCGCUCUAUAGACUUUCGCUUGCGGAUCAUUUCAGGGGCAAGAUUUUCUGGCUUCCACAUAACAUGGACUUUCGAGGACGAGUGUAUCCGAUACCACCACAUUUGAAUCAUCUCGGCUCCGAUCUCGCUCGUUCUCUUCUCGUUUUUGCCUUAGGGAAACCUCUUGGGCCUAAAGGACUUGAUUGGUUGAAACUUCAUACGAUAAACUUGACCGGUUUUAAAAAGAGGGAUCCCGUCCGUGUAAGGCUUGAAUACGCUAAUGAAGUCAUGGACAAGAUUUUGGACAGUGCUGAGAAUCCUUUGGACGGACAAAUGUGGUGGGCAGGUUCAGACGAACCUUGGCAAACAUUAGCAGCUUGCAUGGAAAUCGCAAAAGCGUUAAAGUCCGGAGACCCAGAAAAUUAUGUUUCUGGAUUUCCGAUUCAUCAAGACGGCAGUUGCAAUGGACUUCAGCAUUACGCUGCACUUGGACGGGAUCAAAUCGGCGCGGAAAACGUCAAUUUACAUCCUUUCGAUACACCACAGGAUGUUUACAGCAGUGUUGCGGCGAUGGUUAACGAAUUACGCAAGCAGGAUGCUGCGAACGGCGUUGAGAUUGCAUCGAUUCUGGAAGGAUUUGUAAAGCGAAAAGUAAUAAAGCAGACUGUGAUGACGACCGUUUACGGUGUUACGAAAUUCGGUGCAAAGCUCCAAAUUGCACGUCAGUUGAAAGAUAUUGACGACUUCCCUCAGGAACACGUGUGGGCUGCUAGUGUCUACUUAGUAAACAAAACGUUCGACAGCUUGAGAACGAUGUUUGAAAGUGCUCGGGAAAUUCAAGAUUGGUUUACCGAGUGCGCCCGUAUUAUUUCGAUAUCCUGCGGUCAAAAUGUCGAAUGGGUUACUCCACUAGGUCUGCCCAUUGUUCAACCCUAUACCAAGCAAGAUAAAUAUUCUCCUAUGAAGGACAACAUCAUUUAUAUGGACCGACCAAAUACAAUGAAGCAGAAAAACGCAUUUCCACCAAAUUUCGUUCAUUCGUUGGAUUCUAGUCACAUGAUGCUCACGAGUUUGUACUGUGAAAACGAAAAUUUAACAUUCAUGUCCGUGCACGAUUGUUACUGGACUCACGCGUGCACUGUUGAAAAAAUGAACAAAAUUUGUAGAGAACAAUUCGUCGCCCUUCAUUCGGAGCCUAUCCUCGACGAUCUGUCGCGCUUUUUGCUUACCAAAUAUGGAUAUGUGGAAGGUGACUUGAACGGUGCGCCCGGUUCAUCGUUGAAUGCUGUAAAGAGAAAAAUCAACUAUACUCUGUCCAAUGUACCGAAACAGGGUAACUUCGAUCUUAAGGGAGUUCUCGAGUCGACGUACUUUUUCAGUUAAACUGACAAUUCGUUACAUCCAAUGGAGCCGGAGUUUUGUGAGAUCAAGAACAUCCGGAUCUCAGUGUUAUUGGGACACCAAUCGUUGCGUUCCAGUUGCAAUCAAGAAGAUCCGAGGUCCUCCAUGGUGUCGAAGCAGGGGAUGGGUAACUCGAAAGCUGUGCUUUAUAUUAAAUAUGUAUAGAUACAAUCACGAUGUAAGAUGAAAUUGUAGAUUAGAAUUAUUGAAGUACUGCGAAAAAAUGAAAUUUCUUCAACAAGGA
rnacentral:misc_RNA from 1 species